CUGUCAGAGGAGGAUCCAGAUGGGACAACAAAGAUGGUCAGGGGGAUGGAGCACCUCUCCUAUGAAGAUAG